AAACUGGGAUUAGAUACCCCACUAUGCUUAGCCCUAAACACAAAUAGUUAAUCAACAAAACUAUUCGGCAGAGUACUACUAGCUACUGCUUAAAACUCAAAGGACUUGGCGGUGCUUUAUACCCCUCUAGAGGAGCCUGUUCUAUAAUCGAUAAACCCCGAUAGACCUCAACACCCUUCGCAAGAACUCAGCCUAUAUACCGCCAUCUUCAGCAAACCCUAAUAAGGUUCAAUAGUAAGCAUAACAAUAAUGCAUAAAAACGUUAGGUCAAGGUGUAGCCUAUGGGGUGGGAAGAAAUGGGCUACAUUUUCUAAUCCACUAGAACAGCUUAGACGAUGACUUUCAUGAAACUUUAUAAGCCCAAGGCGGAUUUAGUAGUAAGCUAAGUAACAGAGUGCUUAAAUGAAUU
rnacentral:rRNA from 1 species